ensembl:snRNA U6 U6 spliceosomal RNA
GUGCUCUCUUUGGCAGCACAUAUUAUAAAAUUGGAACAAUACAGAGAAGCAUGGCCCCUGCACAAGGAUGACAUGCAAAUUCGUGAAGCAUUCCAUAUUUUU